rnacentral:tRNA from 1 species
GGGGUGGUAGCUCAGUGGUUAGAGCAGGGGACUCAUAAUCCCUGGGUCGUGGGUUCGAUCCCCACCCGCCCCA